rnacentral:rRNA from 1 species
UGGGGAAUAUUGGGCAAUGGGCGCAAGCCUGAUCCAGCAAUGCCGCGUGUGUGAAGAAGGCCUUCGGGUUGUAAAGCACUUUUAUCAGGAGCGAAACGCUGUCGGCUAAUACCCGGCGGAACUGACGGUACCUGAGGAAUAAGCACCGGCUAACUUCGUGCCAGCAGCCGCGGUAAUACGAAGGGUGCAAGCGUUAAUCGGAAUUACUGGGCGUAAAGCGUGCGUAGGCGGUUUCUUAAGUCUGCUGUGAAAUCCCCGGGCUCAACCUGGGAAUGGCAGUGGAUACUGGGAGGCUAGAGUGUGUCAGAGGGUGGUGGAAUUCCCGGUGUAGCGGUGAAAUGCGUAGAGAUCGGGAGGAACAUCAGUGGCGAAGGCGGCCACCUGGGACAACACUGACGCUGAGGCACGAAAGCGUGGGGAGCAAACAGGAUUAGAUACCCUGGUAGUCCACGCCCUAAACGAUGCGAACUGGAUGUUGGUCUCAACUCGGAGAUCAGUGUCGAAGCUAACGCGUUAAGUUCGCCGCCUGGGGAGUACGGUCGCAAGACUGAAACUCAAAGGAAUUGACGGGGUCAUAGCUGUUUCCU